rnacentral:tRNA from 1 species
GGGGUUGUGGCUUAGAGGUAGAGUGUUCACCUAUCACGUGUGAGGCCCUGGGUUUGAUCCUCAGCACUACA